rnacentral:rRNA from 1 species
UAGCGUUGUCCGGAUUUAUUGGGCGUAAAGAGUGUGUAGGCGGCCAUGUAGGUCCUUUGUGAAAACUCGAGGCUCAACCUCGAGACGCCGAUGGAAACCAUGUGGCUAGAGUCCGGAAGAGGAGAGUGGAAUUCCUGGUGUAGCGGUGAAAUGCGCAGAUAUCAGGAAGAACACCCGUGGCUAAGGCGGCUCUCUAGUACGGUACUGACGCUGAGACGCGAAAGCGUGGGGAGCGAACAGG